UGGGAAGAGACAGAGUAUUUUGUCUAAUUUCAAGUUCAAGAAAGCAAGGAACACAAACGUUAAGUGGCUGGUGUCCAUUUAUUCAAGUAAAUUUAUUCAGAAGUUGAGCCAGAAAUAAAGAUCAAGUCUCCUGGCCCAUGCACUAGGCCCCAUGCUGCCUCACAGCUUUCAAAACCAUCAUUUUCUUGGGAAAUGCUAAAAAGCUUUCCCCUACCAUACAUACUAGAUUCAGACACACUGCCAUCUACUGACCCACCAAAGGAUGUGCCAGCAUAAGACAUCCUGACCUUCAAGGGAGGGAGGAACACCUUGAGAGGAGUUGAGAUCCUGCUUUCUCUUCAGAAUGCCAUCUCCAGGAUGCCAAUGGGUUGUGUCUACAGUACUAUGUAGGAAAGUGCUGCAAGAGGUCAUGAGACCUUCAUGUGAGAGCUGCUCUCCCUGUACCUUGAGGAAAGAAACCUCUUUCUCUCUGAAGAUGAACAGUCACAGAGAAGUAUCUGAAUAAACACGUCUUACUAACUUUCCCCCAGUUUAUUAUUAUUAGAUCACACCCCCUUUGUCCAGUAUAUCCACUUUUCAUCAAACCUAGUAUAAAAUACAGUUGACCCUUGAACAACAUGGGGGUGCUACGAGCACUAACUCACUACACAAUAGGAAAACAGCAUAUAACCUUUGACUCCCCCCAACUUAACUACUAAUAGCCUACUGUUGACCAGAAGAAGCCUUGUCGAUAAUACAGAUAGUUGAUGAACAUGUAUUUUGUGUGUUAAUGUAUAAUACAAUGUAUUAUUACAAUCCAGUAAGCUAGAAAACACAAAAUAUUGUUAAAAUCAUAAGAAAAUACAUUUAUAGUACUGUAUUUGCUUAUGCUGUGAGUUUACCUCAUGUGUUUACAAGAUGAAUCGUCUGUCUGAAAUGAUGAACAAAGGCAGCUGCAGACCUCUAUCUAGAGCACAUGUCAAGCAAUUCAACUUUUGCUUAAAAUUCUAUGACUUUUCUCCACUUCUUAGGGGCACCUCCAGCAGCACUAGUAGCGCUAGUGGCACUUUGCGUGGUUCCGUUAUUAAAGAUUCAAGGUAUUGCACUAAACAAGAUGAAAAAUACACGAGAACUGCAAAACAUCACUUUGUACUGCAAUAUGCAAUUUACUGGAGAGAUCAACUGCUCACUGGAAGAUGAUUCACCUCACCUAGCAUUUUAAGCAGAUACAUGCAACACUUAUUAAUAAGAGGAGUUGACUGCAAAAAUAUUGCAGUAGUACAAUAUGUACUACACAUAAUUUAUGCAGUUAUAAUUUAAUAUCACAUUUUUAUGUUUGUUUACAUUUCUCUCUACUACAUACAGCUGUGCUACAUAUGGUCUGUAAGUGUGAGCAUAAGUUUUGGUAAGUUUUACUUUUUGCAAUAGAUUUGUGUACAUUUUGUGAGAAUUGAUGAAAUAUACUAGUAUCUACGUAUGAUUUUUUUCAUUUUUGACAUAGCUUUUCUUUUGUUUUGACAUUUCUAGACUAUGCAGUUCAUCUGGGAGUUUUCCAAAUUCUUGCAAAUCUCUAAAAAGUUUUUUAAUACGUUGGUUGAAAAAAUUUCCAUGUCUAAGUGGAUCUGCACAAUUCAAACUUGUUCAAGAGUCAAUUUCAUACCCAAGUUUAACUGUUUAUUUUGGUUUUCAUAUCCUUAUGAGGAUUCCCGUGUUAUGUAAAAUAUAUUACAUGGUUGUAGGUAUGUGCUCUACCCUGAGAAGAACAUAGGCCAUUUGUUUCCACCCACGAGUCUUAGUUUUUAGAUAUGCAUAUGCCAACCUGAGAGGUACUGAACUAAUGUAGCCAUGCUUUGUGUGUUCUAGCCCUGUUUGAAAGUUCUUUUUUGUCUAAGGAAAGGAAAACAAUUCUCAGAGAACUCAUCUAGAAUAACAUCCCUGUACUUUCUUAUGAGAAAGAGAAAGUUGCUUGUUGAAGCCUUUGGAGACAGAAGUUUUAAGGUGCUAAGAAAGAAAAGUAAAUACCAAGGAACACAAGUGCUGGUUCACAUGGUAACAAUAUGUUUAGAUUUGUAAGAGACUGUCAAACUGUCUCCCAAAGAGGCAGUACCAUUUUGCAUUCCCACCAGCAAUGAAUGAAGAGUUCCUGUUUCUCUGAUCCGUGGGGAUGCUCCUUGACUUACGAUAGGGCUAUGUCUGGACAAACCUAUGUUGCCACCUCUCUGCUUCAUAUCUGCAGCUGCAACUCUACCCUUGAACUCAUCUUUAAAACUACCCAGAGACAAAGACUGUCAACAGCUUUAGAGCUUUACAACAGGAUCUUCCAAGUGCCCUGAGAACUCAUGAUGGAGCCAAUAGAAAUAAAUCAUACAAAACAAAGCCAGCCCCUGGUGGGAGGGAUGCUUAUAAAACAACAUAAACAAGAAGAUUCUGAAAAAAAAUUGUAUGGAAGGAAGAAGAGAUGAGAUAAUGGAAAUGAACUCAAAAUAGCCCCAGUUAAAAUACUUACAGUAAAAUAUCAUUAGUACUACUUGAUGUUGGUGAAAGGCUCUAGACCCAAGUCAGAAGGCCUGAGUGUUUGCUGUAAUUUCUUGAACAAAUUAUGUAAUUUUGUUGAGAUUCAGUUUUCUUUUCUAUCAUUGGGUAACAAUAACUUCUCUGGGAUGUCAGAGUUAUGAUGUGAAGUUAAAAUAACUAAUAAAUGGGUAAGCCCUGAAAAUUUCAUAGAAGUUUGUGAAUGAGAGCAUCUUGUAAAUACAGUACCUGAAACCGUAAGAAUUAAGUCUCAGCUUGAGGAAUAUCGGAUACUAGGGCAGGCUAAUGGGACAAAGGUCUCAUUGAUCUGCCACCUUCAGUCACACUGAAAUGGGGCUAUAUUUUUUAUUUACUUACCUACCAGUACUGCCACCAGUCAAAAUAGUACUACUUUCCAAGUUAUUUAACUCUUUUAGGAUAACAGAAAAAAGAUCCUUUCUAGUUUUCAAGGCAUAGAUUCAAUGAGUAAUACAGAUUUCUAUCACUUGGUGAACACGUAUCAAUUUCCCUGAUACCACUAAAAAUUAAAUUUAAAAAUGCUAUUUGAUACCUUCUUUAAAAACUUGUUUGUUUGUUUGUUUGCUGAAAUGGCAGGGAUUCAAGUCAAGGUAAUUAGAUUUACGGAACAACAUAGCAAGAGCUCCCAAUUUCAGUAUUGUGACAGGUCCAUUGAUAAAACCUGCUCAGGCAGAGACCAAGUUAGAAAGAAGGAUUAGGUUAUUAUUCUAGUUCUCCUGAGAUAAAGGAAAUAUUCUUAAAAACGUGAAUCCAUCCAUCCUCUUUUAAGAGGUCAUUAGUUUCUUUCCUUAUUAAAAUGAGCACAAACUGAACAUGCAUAGAUUGAUUCUCUCCAUUCAUACUUAGCCUGCUACACAUUGUAACAGAAUUUUCUACACAUUUUAACAGACACACAUUUUCUACACAUUUUUGACAGACACAUUUUAACAGACAUUCUCAAUGUGUCUCUCUGACUUUAUGACAUCAGAGGAAGCAGUCUUCAACCUGCUAAAAAUGUAAAGAAAAUGUAAUGUCUACUUACAAACUUAACAAGAAUAUCAAUGACAACUAUUUUACCAAUAAAUUUAAAGAUCUGGAUACUUCACAUAAUAGCCAGUAGCUCUUUGAUAUAGAUAUAAAGCUAUAUAAUCCAUAAUUUCUUUAUUUUAUGUUUUCCUGAAGUAGUUAUUGAGCACCUAUUGUGUGUAAAGAGCUGGAAUGGACAUAAGAAUACAGAAUGGCAAUACGUUCAAAGAAUGCCAAGUACCGGAAGAGGAAAGAUGGGAUCACUCUUCUAUGCUGUGCUGGCCCAGACCCAGCCCUCUCCAGCCAGGAAACAUAAAAUACAGAAAGUCAUAAAACCCAGAAGUUUGAUUUGGUACCGUAAUGCCAUCACCCAUGGAGUGUAAGUACCAUAGGGUAAUGAGUUAGCUCUGCUCUAUUUGCUGUUGUAACCUGGACCAAGAAGAUGUAUGGCACACACUCCAAAGUCUGUUGCCUGGUGAUUGGAUAGAAGCUGGAAUGUACUGGCAGAUCUAUUGUGGCAAGAAUGUGCAAAAUCCCUCUACAUGGCAUUUUGCACAAGAUUUGAUAAGAAAAUAUGGGGAAUUGCUCACUGGGGAUGCUAUUUUUUUUUUUUUCGCCUGUUCCAUGCAAGCUCCAUUUAGAAGCCUCUAAGAACUCUAAGACUGGGGUCCAAAGCAAAUAACUAUAGCACACAACAAUCCACCCCUCAAAACAUAUCUUUUCCUCUAAUUUUUUUGUUGUUGUUUACGAUGUUUCACAUAAGAUGAUCACACCACAUCAAUUAUGAUGAAAACCUUUGUUUGGGGGGUCUUGGAGGAAUUCCUCAGAAGAUCAAUCUUUUAAGUAAAAAUAAAGAAAUAUGUACAUAUAAAUAUGCCAGUUUCAGAUAUUAAUGUCAUUGAAAUAAUGGCCAUUGAUUUAUUUAUAUAGACCCUGUUACAUUAUUUAGUGUUAUCUUGGUGCUUUUAUUCAAACACAUUCUUUGGUUCUCUAACUAUUAAUGAUUCUAGAAGUUAUAUGAUCCAUUCUAUCCCCUAGCUUCACAUUAUCUUGUUAUAACCUUCAGCAACUAAUUUCCACUUUUGCAAUCAUUUGACUCCCAUCCCGACCAGCAGAGAAAUGUGGGAAAGAGUAAGAGGAUGCUGUGUUCCGGGGAAUGCUAAUUUCCUGGCUUGGUUUUGCCACCUGCUACCUAUAUGUAACCUUUCUGAGGCUCAGUUGUCAUUUGUGUAAUUGGGUAUAAUAACGCUUCACAGAGUUAUAAGGCUAAAAGAUACAGUACUUUGGAAAUUGCUUUGUAAAGUUCUGUGAGAGCAAAAGGCAAGAAAUUAUUAAGGCUCUUAAUGUCAAUGCCAGUCUAAUGACUAUGUCUGUUACUUCAUUUUUGGUGAUAUUGUCUUAAUAUUGAAAGUCAAUUAUUAAAUUAAUGUAAGGAAUAAACUUUAUAAAAUGAAGAUAUGGAUUUCA